CAGCCGUAAACAAUGUGCGUUAGGUGUGUCGGUAACCACGCGUUACUGAUGCGCCGAAGAGAAAUCGUGAAACGCACCACCUGGGAAGUACGGUCGCAAGGCUGAAACUUAAAGGAAUUGGCGGGGGAGCACCACAACAGGUGGAGCCUGCGGUUUAAUUGGAUUCAACGCCGGACAUCUCACCGGAUAAGACAGCUGAAUGAUUGUCAAUCUGAAGGUUGUACAUGACUAGCUGAGAGGAGGUGCAUGGCGUCAGUGACU
rnacentral:rRNA from 1 species